GGGAAGGUGGCAGAGUGGCUUAAUGCGCACCCCUGCUAAGGGUGUGAACCCUUUGGGUUCCGAGGGUUCAAAUCCCUCCCUUUCCGCCA
rnacentral:tRNA from 1 species